CAUUCCCAUGGCUUUCCUUCCCAUUGUACUAUACAGAAUGACUGACUACCACAAAAAUCACUUAUAACCCUAGGUUACAAAAGAUAAAAAGGAGCCAGACUCAGUACUUGUGUGUUACUUUUGAAAAUCCAUGCUUCCAGACAUGAACCCUGUUACCAAAGGUGUUCUGAAUCUUUUUUUUUUUUUUUUAAUGUGUGCUUUGAGCUUGACCCUUCUCCUCACAGGAGUUCCCAAUUAACAAUGAAGGAUUGAGACCAUGUUAUCUUAUUCCCAGCAUGGAAGUACACUGGAUAGACUAUGCCUGACUAAAUCACCGGGAAAUGACUCUGACCUUACACCUGUAGGAUGCCACCUGAAAUCUUUCUUUGUGCAUCAGCCAGGUUGUCACUAGUGGAUGUGACAAGUGUUCUAUGAGGAUUUCCGCUCCAGUGCCGCCGCUCUCAGGGUAACUUGGAGAUACUUGCAGUUCUUCCUUCUUUCUGCUCGACAAGGACAGUGUUCAUGCUCUGAACGGGUCAAGCUAUUAGUCACCAGAUUGCAUCAGAGAGAAACUUUAAAACAGGAGCCUGAAUAGAGUUCACCAUUCUUUGGAGGACUUGGGUGAACUGGGUUUUAAUACUUUGGUCUUCCUAGAUCAUGGUCCUGAAAGAAAUUUCCAGACUAUUUCUAAGUUAUCGUAGCUGGUUAUUUUCUCUGCCAGUCUGAAAAUCCACACUCGACUCCUUCCUUCUUCAUGAUUCCCCCCAAUGAAAACAGUCAUUCUUUCUCUCAGAGUGCAUUAAGAGCAGCCUCUUGGGGAAGGAUGUUUUUCAUCCAAAUGUUAAGGUUCCAGGGUCCAGAAGGGCCAGCAAAUGCAAACCUGAAAUGAAUGUCUCUGAAGCAGAAGCCCAGCCCUGGUCCUGUCAUACAUGCGUAAAACAAAUGGCCCAGUGGAAGCAUCACGUAAAUCACUCAGUAGGGAGUGCCAAAAAUUUCACUGCAUUCCUUCCCGAAUUCAAAACCCAAAUAGCCUAGCGCUCUAAACCCUCGCCUAGAAACCGGGGAGGGAAAACGAGCUGUGAAGAACUAUGGGGGAAGUGUGAGGGGUAGUGGGACCUGAAGGGACCACCUGCUAAUCUACAUUCACACAGUAUUUUGUAUCCAGCUAUGAAUCAAAAUUCUCGAGCUCGGUUUAUCGCUUGAAAGGCCCUAAAGUCCUGUUACCAUCCUCACUGUUAGUUUCCAGUAAUACAGCCAAGACUUGUACGAGCUUUUAUGCUUCUUAAAGGAUGUUGAUCUACCUGGGCUCUAUCUGAUUUGGGGGAUCGGUGUAGAUGGGUUUCAGGUGCCAGAUAUAUGGGUGGUAUAGUACAUUACAGGCUUUGGUUUCUUGAGUCAUCGUAUGCCGAGAGGGAAGAGAAAUGUCAUGUCAUAUAUGUCUAAGGAAAGCCACUUCAACACUUUUGUAAGUAAAUAUGCUCUUUUCCAAAAACAUGGUUUUGUUUUGUUUUGUUUUUUUAACUCUUCAAAACAACCUUUAUUGGUGUUUACAAGAAAUCAUUUUUGUUGGAGGGAACAAACAGCCUGCCCUCUCAGGUGUAGGAAGUGAGUUGAGUUAGAGCUGAAACACUCCUAAUGAUUGGGAAGAAAGAUGGGUUUCCUUCCAAGGGUCCAGCUAUAACAGCAGCACCAUGCAAUAGAUCACUAGUGUAUAGCAUCUUAUCUUGUACCAAAAUGUAAGGUUCAGUUCAAUAUUUUAUGUUUCAGAGUUUUACGACUGUUAUGACAAAGUGUCACAAGCUGGUUGGCUUCAGACAGUAGAAAUUGAUGGUGUCGUGGUUCUGGAAAGGAGAAAUAUAAAAUCAGGAUGUCAUCAGGGAAGAGAGCGGUAUCAACAGAGUGGCAGAAGCAGGAGACGCCAAUCUUCAUCUCUCUCCAGAAAACAAAAGGUCAACUGCUCUCCUCUGCCUUGAGCUCCUCCACCAUGAUAUACUUCCAAUGAUCAAGUUAAGUAACCAUGCAUUGAACCCUCUGAAAUGAGCUGACUCAAGUCCAUCACUCUGAUAUCUUCAUCAUCCUCUAAGUUGGACUUCCUCCACAUCCAACUCUUCGCUUCCAGUGACUGCUGCAAACUCUCCUGGGGACAACAUGGUUCCUCAAGAGCAAACAUACAGCUCAAGAUAGCCGGUCCAUUCCAUGCUACAUUUUGAGUUUACUGGGUUCAGAUAGGAAUGCUCAAAAGUCAUGUGUCUUCUCAAGCUGGCCCUUCUUCCAUCGAAGGACCAAAGAAGGAUCUGCUCUCAUUUCCUAGGGGUGUUGUAGUAGGCACUGCUAACUCCUAUGUAGCAAGAGACUUCUUCACUGUUCUAUCAUUAUCACCCAAAGGAAGAAGGAAAGUUUGACCACUCUCCCUGACAGUAAUUAAAGAGUGACCUACCAUGUUUGGAAUGUACAAUGGCAUGAAUUGCAAAGAAUGUGUCUCUCCUUGCCAGGGGCAACAGAAAGUAGACAACUCAUUCUUAAUAACUCUGAUUGGCUAUCUUACUAAUAAUCAUGAGCUCUUUUUGGGGUCUAAGAAUCAGGUUUAAAAAUUCAACCUGAAGCAGAAAUUCUGUUUCAGAAGA